GGACGACGCUGGCGGCGUGCUUAACACAUGCAAGUCGAACGGUAAGGCCCUUCGGGGUACACGAGUGGCGAACGGGUGAGUAACACGUGGGUGAUCUGCCCUGCACUUCGGGAUAAGCCUGGGAAACUGGGUCUAAUACCGGAUAGGACCAUGGACUUCACGGUUUGUGGUGGAAAGCUUUUGCGGUGUGGGAUGGGCCCGCGGCCUAUCAGCUUGGUGGUGGGGUAAUGGCCUACCAAGGCGACGACGGGUAGCCGGCCUGAGAGGGUGUCCGGCCACACUGGGACUGAGAUACGGCCCAGACUCCUACGGGAGGCAGCAGUGGGGAAUAUUGCACAAUGGGCGCAAGCCUGAUGCAGCGACGCCGCGUGAGGGAUGACGGCCUUCGGGUUGUAAACCUCUUUCAAUAGGGACGAAGCGCAAGUGACGGUACCUAUAGAAGAAGCACCGGCCAACUACGUG
rnacentral:rRNA from 1 species